rnacentral:lncRNA from 1 species
GAGACUCCAUUUCAAAAAAACAAACAAAAACCAAAAUAAAAAGCAACAACAAAAAAUACAAAUUAAAUUGUGAAACAUAUAAUCGAAGCUGUGAGCACAUGUGUCCAAUGGAGCAUUCGAGCCGAAGCAGAACUAAUGCCGUUGGUACUGAACAGGGAUGAGCUCCACGGCUCUGAUAACUCCUCGAGAUGAAACCUAUCAGAUGCUCUGAAAACUGCUGUGAGAAAACCUGCAAAUGGAGAGAAAGGAAACAGCUCCCACCACUUACAGUCUAAAUGAGUCGUGAUUUUUUUUUCAUUCAUUAAAAACUGGGAUUUUUUUUUUUAAGGAAAUGCAUGCCAAAUACUUCUCUGUUAAUGGGCCUAAUUAAGGGACCUGGAUUUCGAUUAUUUAAUUUUUCAAAAUUCCACUAUAGGAAAAAUAAUAGAACCAAGAUUGUUCAAAUUGUUCUUGCAAUGGUUCCUGAAAUAUUUCCAUCUCAAGUCAUUCACUAAUACAGUAUAUCUAAAUGUCUUGUUUUUGGAGUAAGGGAUCGAAACUUGCUCUUUUAGGUACUACACCAAAUUACUAACCUGCCUUUUCGAGUAGCCCAAUAAUUAUUCUAACACGUAAUUUUGAACUUUAGGAAUUUCUCUUUUGGAACAGAAAUCUUUUUCAUCGCAGUGAAAGCAGGCAAGAGGAUGCGGGAAAUUAUCAGGGGGAAACAUAAGUUCUGGGUCUUAUCGGAUGUCACAGUUUUUGACCCGAGCAUCAGGAAAGCGAAGCCACACAACGCGGCUCCUCCUAGCCCCGGCGCGGCAGCCUGGAGGGGAUGUCUUUUUUGCAAAGCGAGUUCUCCAACUUUCCCGGGCCUUGGCGGAGCUCCGGGACCGCGCAGGGGUCCCUUUUAUAAGCAAAGGAGAAACAAACAGAUGCCCUCUGACAUCGCUGGAGCUCUGCAGGCCCUCCGAGGGGACCGUGGGAGCAAGAGCUGUUUUCUUGAAAAGCUACCUAGAAUAAAUGUUACCCUGUCACAGUCUCUUA